AAACGUUCUAUUUUGGCAUUGUUCUUCGAGCAGCGUGCAUUUUGGUAGACACUAGCCGUAUGUGGCUAUUGAGCACUUAAAAUGUGGCUAGUGUAACUAAAGAACUGCAUUUUAAAUUUUAUUUAGUCUUAGUUAAUUUAAAAUUUAAAUAAAAUGGCAUUAUGUGGCUCAUGGCUUACUAUAUUGCACAGCAUGGAUCUUGAACAUCGUUUUCCACAUUAACUUUCCCUUUCUAACAUUUCGAGGAAACAGUUUUGUGAGACUGAAAUCUAAGUCAUUCUUCUCAAGCCUGGGUCUGUGGAAAGGCCUAUGCUGGCUGUUUACCUUUUUCCCUUAAAUAGUUUUUAAGGUCCCGAGACUAGAUGAGAUUACCAAGUCUUCUCUCUUACAGAGCAGUCAGUAAGGCAAGAAAACACAUCUUACAGAUCCAUACCAGGGACUGGAAUCCAAAAUUGUCAGAUGCAUUUUUAGGUGAAUUGGCUGAAAAAUGUGUUGGCUACUGUGGAGCCGAUAUCAAGGCCCUGUGCACUGAAGCCGCCCUGAUUGCACUGCGG
rnacentral:lncRNA from 10 species